rnacentral:rRNA from 1 species
CCUACGGGUGGCAGCAGUAGGGAAUAUUGCACAAUGGGGGAAACCCUGAUGCAGCAACGCCGCGUGGGGGAAGAAGGUUUUCGGAUUGUAAAGCCCUUUCGGCAGAGAAGAAAAUGACGGUACCUAACGAAGAAGCACCGGCUAACUACGUGCCAGCAGCCGCGGUAAUACGGAGGGGGCAAGCGUUAUCCGGAUUUACUGGGUGUAAAGGGCGCGUAGACGGGAGAGCAAGUCAGAAGUGAAAUCCCAUGGCCAAACCAUAGGACUGCUUUUGAAACUGCUAUGCUAGAGUGUGGGAGAGGUAGGUGGAAUUCUUGGUGUAGCGGUAAAAUCCGUAGAGAUCAGGAGGAAUACUCGUUGCGAAGGCGACCUGCUGGAACGUAACUGACGUUGAGGCGCGAAAGCGUGGGGAGCAAACAGGAUUAGAUACCCUGGUAGUC